rnacentral:sRNA from 1 species
GGGGGCGUACUGGUUUCGACCAGAGAGAUGCGUCAGGGAUGGCAUGCCGAGGAUGGUCUGUGGGCCUCGUUAAUCAUCGGACCAAUCGUUAACUGCCAACGAAGAACUGGCCCUCGCCGCUUAAAUGCUGCGACGUCUGCUGCCCGACACCGGCUGGGGUGGACAGACGCUAUAGCCGGUUAGGUCGCCGCCGGAGACCGCGCGGUGGCGACCGAAAAAACUCCAUGCGGACUAAUCGGCGGGAUUCGUGCCGGAACGUCAUCCCGUCGAUGAACAACAAUGUCCGGCUAAGCAUGUAGAGGUUCUUGGCAAGUUUUUUUGGGACGCGGGUUCAACUCCCGCCGCCUCCACCA